UGGGGAAUAUUGGACAAUGGGCGAAAGCCUGAUCCAGCCAUGCCGCGUGUGUGAAGAAGGUCUUCGGAUUGUAAAGCACUUUAAGUUGGGAGGAAGGGCAGUUACCUAAUACGUGAUUGUUUUGACGUUACCGACAGAAUAAGCACCGGCUAACUCUGUGCCAGCAGCCGCGGUAAUACAGAGGGUGCAAGCGUUAAUCGGAAUUACUGGGCGUAAAGCGCGCGUAGGUGGUUUGUUAAGUUGGAUGUGAAAUCCCCGGGCUCAACCUGGGAACUGCAUUCAAAACUGACUGACUAGAGUAUGGUAGAGGGUGGUGGAAUUUCCUGUGUAGCGGUGAAAUGCGUAGAUAUAGGAAGGAACGCCAGUGGCGAAGGCGACCACCUGGACUAAUACUGACACUGAGGUGCGAAAGCGUGGGGAGCAAACA
rnacentral:rRNA from 1 species